rnacentral:rRNA from 1 species
CGGGUGAGUAACGCGUGAGGAACCUGCCUCAAAGAGGGGGACAACAGUUGGAAACGACUGCUAAUACCGCAUAAGCCCACAGCUCGGCAUCGAGCAGAGGGAAAAGGAGUGAUCCGCUUUGAGAUGGCCUCGCGUCCGAUUAGCUAGUUGGUGAGGUAACGGCUUACCAAGGCGACGAUCAGUAGCCGACCUGAGGGGGUGACCGGCCACAUUGGGACUGAGACACGGCCCAA